AAAGAAUCCACAGCUCUCGGCUUCCAAAUAACUUCUGUCUCUUCUCUCCAGGGAGACCACACUGCCUCGGAGUUAUUUUCUCAGGAGCCUCACUGCCUGCAGGGCUGUGUCUACAGUGCAUCAACCACAGCUCUGCCUGUCUGAAGCGUUCACUGCCAGGCACCCCAGGUGACUCCAGGCUGCAGGAGCUCUUGAUGUAGAUCAGUGUGGAGUGAAUGAAAAACAUUUAAACAGCAACUGAGGAGUGAAGCGCGUCUGGCACUAAAAGGAAAGAAGAAGUAGACUCAGGAGAAGAGGCCAAGUCCCUCCAUCAUGGGAACUUGAGGAUGUGUGAUCUGAAUGAAGGAAUGCAGCCAGCAAAGCAAGCCAGACAUAUGGAAGAGAAAAGGUGUCAGGCUUGAAGAGAAGUGAGCAAGCUGAUGUCUUCUGGCCACACUGGGGAUGAGAAUUUAAUACCGUUGGUGACAAUCUGCAGGAAAAGCAGCAUGGAAGAGAUGGGCAAGCUCAGUGCAAAGGAGGGAACUACUUAUCUUUUGGAAAGCACCCUCCAUUUGGUGGGGAGAUUCUAUGGAUCGGAAUAUUCUGUUUCGAUAUCCACGAACUGGAUGUACACCUGACAAAAUGUCUACGAAAUCCACGGUGUAGCUGGUCUAGAAUGGCUGAAUUGU
rnacentral:lncRNA from 1 species